GACGAACGCUGGCGGCGUGCUUAACACAUGUAAGUCGAACGGAGUGGCGAACGGGUGAGUAACACGUGGGUGAUCUGCCUUGCACUUCGGGAUAAGCUUGGGAAACUGGGUCUAAUACCGGAUAGUGCAAGAUGAGCUCGCGGCCAUUCAGCUUGUUGGUGGGGUAAUGGCCUACCAAGGCGUCGACGGGUAGCCGGCCUGAGAGGGUGUACGGCCACAUUGUGACUGAGGUACGGCCCGGAGUCCUUCGUGAGGCAGCGGUGGGGAAUGUUGCGCGAUGGGCGGAGGGCUGGAGCAGGGACGCCGCGUGGGGGAGGAAGGCUUUCGGGUUGUAAACUCCUUUGGACAGGGACGCGGUACCUGUAUAAGAAGCACCGGCUAACUACGUGCCAGCAGCCGCGGUAAUUC
rnacentral:rRNA from 1 species